GUAGAGUGCAGAAUUAGCGUUGAAGAUCAAGAGCCGUUAGUAGCCUGAAGAGAAGAGAUAGGCAACGCUGGGGCUACAGACAGCGCUGACAAUUGGCUGGCUCAUAGACUUCUUCCAGGGUUGGCUGCUGUUUUGAUGGACUUUGAAGAGCUUCCAUGAAAGCCUGUGUGUAAUACCACUCUUGGACCUCAGUGUCACCAGAGUGCUGUGCUCCAGGCCAAGUUGGACCAGUCUCUUUGUCUGGGCUGCAGUAAUGCUUGGCUUCCCCGGGCAUCAGAUUGGUGGAACCUCCGCUUUUGUGAGGUCCACACAGCUCCAUCUGCUUAUUAGCAGACCGAAUAGGGAGGCAGCUGAUCAGUGAAUGGUGUGUCGUAACUGCCUCCAUCGCCAGGACAUCUGGAAAUGAGCUUCUGACCAUUCUGCUAACUUGGUGGCAAGGAUCUCCAGCUUCUGAAGGAUGCGAUGCCAUUGUGUGCUGGAACAUGGUGGAAGACCCAACCAGCCACUCAACCGGAUGUAUCAACAUGCAGGUGGCCAUUGAGGAGAAAGGACA